rnacentral:rRNA from 1 species
GAUGAACGCUGGCGGCGUGCCUAAUACAUGCAAGUCGAGCGAAUGACGAGGAGCUUGCUCCUCUGAUUUAGCGGCGGACGGGUGAGUAACACGUGGGUAACCUGCCUGUAAGACGGGGAUAACUCUGGGAAACCGGAGCUAAUACCGGAUGAUAACGAGAAGCGCCUGCUUCUUUUUUGAAAGUCGGUUUCGGCUGACGCUUACAGAUGGGCCCGCGGCGCAUUAGCUAGUUGGUGAGGUAACGGCUCACCAAGGCGACGAUGCGUAGCCGACCUGAGAGGGUGAUCGGCCACACUGGGACUGAGACACGGCCCAGACUCCUACGGGAGGCAGCAGUAGGGAAUCUUCGGCAAUGGACGAAAGUCUGACCGAGCAACGCCGCGUGAGCGAUGAAGGCCUUCGGGUCGUAAAGCUCUGUUGUCAGAGAAGAACAAGUACCGGAGUAACUGCCGGUACCUUGACGGUACCUGACCAGAUAGCCACGGCUAACUACGUGCCAGCCGCCGCGGUAAAAC